rnacentral:rRNA from 1 species
UGUGGAUGAGUGGCGAACGGGUGAGUAAUACGUGAGUAACCUGCCCUUGACUCUGGGAUAAGCCCGGGAAACUGGGUCUAAUACUGGAUGCUACAUGUCACCGCAUGGUGGUGUGUGGAAAGGGUUUACUGGUCUUGGAUGGGCUCACGGCCUAUCAGCUUGUUGGUGAGGUAAUGGCUCACCAAGGCGACGACGGGUAGCCGGCCUGAGAGGGUGACCGGCCACACUGGGACUGAGACACGGCCCAGACUCCUACGGGAGGCAGCAGUGGGGAAUAUUGCACAAUGGGCGAAAGCCUGAUGCAGCGACGCCGCGUGAGGGAUGACGGCCUUCGGGUUGUAAACCUCUUUCAGCAGGGAAGAAGCCACAAGUGACGGUACCUGCAGAAGAAGCGCCGGCUAACUACGUGCCAGCAGCCGCGGUAAUACGUAGGGCGCAAGCGUUGUCCGGAAUUAUUGGGCGUAAAGAGCUCGUAGGCGGUUUGUCGCGUCUGCUGUGAAAGCCCGGGGCUUAACCCCGGGUGUGCAGUGGGUACGGGCAGACUAGAGUGCAGUAGGGGAGACUGGAAUUCCUGGUGUAGCGGUGGAAUGCGCAGAUAUCAGGAGGAACACCGAUGGCGAAGGCAGGUCUCUGGGCUGUUACUGACGCUGAGGAGCGAAAGCAUGGGGGAGCGAACAGGAUUAGAUACCCUUGGUAGUCCAUGCCCGUAAACNGUUGGGCACUAAGGUGUGGGGGGACAUUCCAC